GACGAACGCUGGCGGCGUGCUUAACACAUGCAAGUCGAACGGAAAGGCCCUGCUUUUGUGGGGUGCUCGAGUGGCGAACGGGUGAGUAACACGUGAGUAACCUGCCCUUGACUUUGGGUUAACUUCAGGAAACUGGGGCUAAUACCGGAUAGGAGCUCCUGCUGCAUGGUGGGGGUUGGAAAGUUUCGGCGGUUGGGGAUGGACUCGCGGCUUAUCAGCUUGUUGGUGGGGUAGUGGCUUACCAAGGCUUUGACGGGUAGCCGGCCCUGGAGGGGGAACGGGCACCAGGGGCCUGAGGUACGGCCCAGACGCCAAAGGUGGGCAACAGGGGGGAAUAUUGCACAACGGGGCGGAGCCCGGUGCAACAACGCCCGGGGCGGGAAGACCGCCUUUCGGGUGUAAAACGGCUUUGGCUAAUAACAAGGGGUAAUGACGGUAAUGGGAAAAGAAGCACCGGCUAACUACGUG
rnacentral:rRNA from 1 species